CAAGGCAGGAACCCGAAAAAAUCCCCAGUUUGAGCCAGGAUUCGAACCUGGGCCACAGCGGUGAGAGGCCGACGCGCUAACACACUAGGCCACCCGUGCUUCCACGAGUGUUGGGGGAGAGGGGGUAAGAGAAGGGGCGAGUGUGAUGAGGCAUGAGGUGAGGCAGGUGUUGGGAGAUAGAGGCUUAGGGAAGCAGCGAGUGUGAUGAGGCAUGAGAAGAGGCGAGUGUAGGGUAGAGGGUAAGGGAAGGGGCGAGUGUGAUGAGGCAUGAGAUGAGGCAUGAGAUGAGGCGAGUGUUGGGGGAGAGAGGGUAAGAGAAGCGGCGAGUGUGAUGAGGCAUGAGAUGAGGCGAGUGUUGGGGGAGAGAGGCUAAGGGAAGCGGCGAGUGUGAUGAGGCAUGAGAUGAGGCGAGUGUUGGGGGAGAGAGGCUAAGGGAAGCGGCGAGUGUGAUGAGGCAUGGGAUGAGGCAAGUGUGAUGAGGCAUGAGAUGAGGCGAGUGUUGGGGAAGAGACGGUAAGGGAAGCGGCGAGUGUGAUGAGGCAUGAGGUGAGGCAGGUGUUGGGAGAUAGAGGCUUAGGGAAGCAGCGAGUGUGAUGAGGCAUGAGAAGAGGCGAGUGUAGGGUAGAGGGUAAAGAAAGCGGCGAGUGUGAUGAGACAUGAGAUGAGGCGAGUGUUGGAGGAAAGAGGGUAAGGGAAGGGGCGAGUGUGAUGAGGCAUGAGAUGGGGCGAGUGUAGGUUAGAGGGUAAGGGAAGCGGCGAGUGUGAUGAGGCAUGAGAUGAGGCGAGUGUUGGGAGAUAGAGGCUAAGGACAGCGGCGAGUGUGAUGAGACAUGAGAUGAGGCGAGUGUUGGGAGAGAGAGGCUAAGGGAAGCGGCGAGUGUGAUGAGGCAUGAGAUGAGGCGAGUGUUGGGAGAGAGAGGGUAAGGAAAGUGGCGAGUGUGAUGAGGCAUGAGAUAAGGCGAGUGUUGGGAGAGAGAGGCUAAGGGAAGCGGCGAGUGUGAUGAGGCAUGAGAUAAGGCGAGUGUUGGGAGAGAGAGGGUAAGGACGGCGGCGAGUGUGAUGAGGCAUGAGAUGAGGCGAGUGUUGGGAGAUAGAGGCUAAGGGAAGCGGCGAGUGUGAUGAGGCAUGAGAUGAGGCGAGUGUUGGAGGAAAGAGGGUAAGGGAAGGGGCGAGUGUGAUGAGGCAUGAGGUGAGGCGAGUGUUGGAGGAAAGAGGGUAAGGGAAGCGGCGAGUGUGAUGAGGCAUGAGAUGAGGCGAGUGUAGGGUAGAGGGUAAGGGAAGGGGCGAGUGUGAUGAGGCAUGAGGUGAGGCGAGUGUUGGGGGAGAGAGGGUAAGUACAGCGGCGAGUGUGAUGAGACAUAAGAUGAGGCGAGUGUUGGGAGAUAGAGGCUAAGGGAAGCGGCGAGUGUGAUGAGGCAUGAGAUGAGGCGAGUGUAGGGUAGAGGGUAAAGAAAGCGGCGAGUGUGAUGAGACAUAAGAUGAGGCGAGUGUUGGGAGAUAGAGGCUAAGGGAAGCGGCGAGUGUGAUGAG